rnacentral:tRNA from 1 species
CGUUCUAUGGCUAAAUUGGUAAAGGCAUCGCCGAUCACAGGCAAGGAUGCGGGUUCGAGUCCGCUAGAUCGG